CAGGGAGGAGCCCAGGGGCAUCUCCAACACUCAGCCUUUCCCUCUGGACCCUUUUAAAAGAUUCAACAGCACCGUCUCUCUCCACUUCCAUCCUAGAAUGUAGAAUCUGCAAAGUGCCUUUUGUAAAGUUUCUUAAGGGCCCCAUCCCAGCCAAAAUGAAUCCCAGGGAAGAAAAAGUAAAAAUAAUUACAGAGGAGUUCAUUGAAAAUGAUGAGGAUGCAGACAUGGGAAGACAGAAUAAGAACUCAAAGGUUCGAAGACAGCCAAGAAAGAAACAGCCACCAACUGCUGUCCCCAAGGAAAUGGUGUCCGAAAAGUCUCACCGUGGCAACCGGCAGGAGCCUGUGCAGGAGGAGCCCAAGACCCACCUUCUGAGUAUGACAGUCCGGAGAGGCCCACGGAGCUUACCUCCAAUUCCUUCAACUUCCAGAACAGGCUUUGCAGAAUUUUCCAUGAGGGGACGCAUGAGGGAGAAAUUGCAAGCUGCAAGGUCCAAAGCAGAAAGUGCAUUGCUGCAGGAAAUCCCCACUCCUCGGCCCAGACGCUUACGAAGUCCCAGUAAGAAAGAACUGGAGACUGAAUUUGGCACAGAGCCAGGGAAAGAGGUAGAAAGGACUCAACAAGAAGUUGAUUCCCAAAGUUAUUCAAGAGUCAAGUUCCGUGAUUCUGCACGAAAAAUCAAGCCUAAACCCCAGGUUCCACCUGGCUUCCCUUCUGCAGAAGAAGCCUAUAACUUCUUUACUUUCAACUUUGAUCCCGAACCAGAAGGAUCAGAGGAAAAACCAAAAGCAAGACAUAGAGCGGGAACUAAUCAAGAGGAGGAGGAAGGAGAAGAAGAACCACCUGCACAAGGAGGAGGAAAGGAAAUGGUAUUUAAUAUCAGGAUGGUAAUGAGGUGUGGGUGGAGGGCUGGGAGGAAAAGGGUGAUGUCCCUACAAAAAAGAAAGUGGCUGAGGAGAAACCCACCACCACCAGGAGAACGACACUCCACGUCUGAGUUGAAAUCCCAAGUACUGAAUUCACAUGGCUCCCUGUAGCUCUGGGUUAGACCCUACAAUGUAAGAACCUCGAUUAAACCUGUUUAUUUUUCUUUUGUGGAAAAAAGAAUUAAAUAA
rnacentral:sRNA from 1 species